rnacentral:rRNA from 1 species
AUGCCCUUAAAAUUUUGGGACGAAGCAUUCCUCACUACUGUACACAUCAUAAACAUGCUUCCUAGUCGGGUUAUCAACAAUGAAACUCCCUUAGAAAGGCUUUUCCACACAAAACCGGACUAUAAAUCUCUUCGUGUUUUUGGAUGCGCCUGUUGGCCAAAUCUUCGCCCCUACAACACUUGCAAGCUUAUGUUUCGAUCCAAACCGUGUGUGUUUCUUGGGUAUAGUGCUCAGCAUAAAGGAGUUAAAUGUCUUGAUAACUCCACUGGUCAUGUCUACAUCUCUAGAGAUGUUGUUUUCGACGAGACAAAAUUUCCUUUGCUGAUCUCCACCCUAAUGUCGGCGCCUUACUUCGCAAGGAGAUUCUUCUCCUACCACCUCAUCUCUCCAGUCAUGAUCAAGGGGGACAUGAUAACUGUGAUGAUCAUUUGUUGA